rnacentral:rRNA from 1 species
GUCCACGCUGUAAACGAUGUGUGCUAGACGUUGGGAGCCUAGCUCUUCGGUGUCGCAGCUAACGCUUUAAGCACACCGCCUGGGGAGUACGGCCGCAAGGUUAAACUCAAAGGAAUUGACGGGGCCCGCACAAGCGGUGGAGCAUGUGGUUUAAUUCGACGCAACGCGAAGAACCUUACCAGCCCUUGACAUGUCCGGUAUGGGUGGGGAGACCUCAUUCUUCAGUUCGGCUGGCCGGAACACAGGUGCUGCAUGGCUGUCGU